CUGCUACUCAUUCCUACCUUUAGGUACAGCUUUAUCACCUUUGUUGUUGUUGUUCUACCCUGGCUUCCAAGAUGGAUUAACACUCGAAGUUCCUAACGGUUGCCUAGCUGCCCCUUUCCUCUUCAGCUGUCUCUCUACCUUUAUAGCCACAUGCAACAUGUCUUCCAACUCCACAUAAUGUUGCAGCUCCACUACAUUGGCAAUUUUCCUAUUCAACCCAUUCAGGAAUUGUGCCAUGGUAGCCUCCCGAUCCUCCACCACAUUGGCCCUAAUCUUGAGUAUUUCCAUCUCCUUAUGAUAGUCCUCUACACUUUUCGACCCUUGAUAUAGACCUUGCAGUUUUUGAUCGAUCUC
rnacentral:lncRNA from 1 species